AGUUAAAAGACGGUUAAAAACUUACAAGGUCCAUUCUAUGCCCGUCAUAAUAGAACAACAAUAAAUAUCGUUAUUAUGACUAUUGUGCCUACGACAGUGCUGCCACCUGUACACGUCUGCUGGCACUAAAUCAUGUUGACAUUUAUGUUGAUCGGACCGAUUUUUUCAAACCUUUCGCUACUAAUAUAUCUACACGCUAUGGACCGACAGAGUCAAGGCAGUACAGUAGAAUGUAUCUAAUAACGAACUCGCUAAUAAUGUUCCCUCAUCGAAAUCCGUCGAGAUCAGAUACGAUGGAUGACCUCGAGCGUUACACGUACGAUAGCGAAAAACGGUUUCUAUUCUACUGGCCAUGAAGGGGGAGGAGCGUUUGAACUUCCCUUUAGAUAGUAGUACAGCCAAGGGGCAAGAUUCGAUGUGUCAAAUGAAGAGGUCUAACAAAAAAAAGUCCACGAAACGUCAACAUUGAUGCAUUGCCGGCAACACUGCAGCGAUGAAAAAAUCACGGGCAUGAUGUUUACGAUAUGGUAAUUGCUAGAAAUCGACGAAGACCUCGAGUGACCUAAAAUGUAGUACCUUGACGAGAGCACUUAUCAUAAAUUAAUAACUCCAUAUAUUAUAAAGAAAAAUAAUGGCUUUCGGCUAUUCUACGUGUAAAAAUUGAAAUAAAUAUCUUCAUUUAGGUCCAGUAGCUUUCGGGUAGGGUUUGGCUGUGCUAGCUCAUUCACUAGUUCAAUGUCAAGUGCUGAAAUUUAACUUUUCUCGCAAAUAAAUAGAUUUUAUUUUGUUUCGCUGUAUUGGAUCUAUGCUGAACUAUGCGCUAACUUUUCAUUGACAAUCUCCCUUGCGCAAUAGGCUUUCAAGCUUCUUGCAGCUUAUACAUCGUGACAUUGUUCUACGAUUGGCAGAAAGUGAAUGAGUGACGCGACCAUCAGUCGAACGAUUUCCAUAAAAUGCAUAGAGGACCAUACGUAAGAGAGCAGAUGGGCCGAUCGUUGCGUCCCAAUUCGAUCAACAAACCACGCGUGAUUUUCAAAAUUCCGACAAUUUUUCAUGAUAAAAUAAAGCAUCUUGAUUUGAAGAAGAAGCACUGAGGUACAAUUCUACUAGUGUAGUUCUGAAAUUGAGAUGACUUCAGAAACACGCAUGUAUGUGAAUUCGAAUUGUGUUUGACAUCAUUGCUUUCUCUGCUUCGAAACUAAAUGAAAAUUAAGGGUGAGAUCAUUAUACAAUAUAAAUGUGUACUUUACUUUUCAACAGUAGAGCUUUUUUUAGUAGCACACGUAGCAAUAGUAAAGAAGUAUCUAGCCGUAAAAUGAUGUUUUAGUCUGCGCGUUGAAAAACCUUCUCAGACUAUCGAACCACUUAGCGUUUUUUUGUUUUUAAAUUUUUUAUUAUUAAAAAAUUAUAUACCUAAACAUGUGACUUGGAGAAGGUUGAUAC